rnacentral:rRNA from 1 species
GGACGUGCUAAUCUGCGAUAAGCGCCGGUAAGGUGAUAUGAACCGUUAUAACCGGCGAUUUCCGAAUGGGGAAACCCAGUGUGAUUCGUCACACUAUCAUUAACUGAAUCCAUAGGUUAAUGAGGCGAACCGGGGGAACUGAAACAUCUAAGUACCCCGAGGAAAAGAAAUCAACCGAGAUUCCCCCAGUAGCGGCGAGCGAACGGGGAGGAGCCCAGAGCCUGAAUCAGCAUGUGUGUUAGUGGAAGCGUCUGGAAAGGCGCGCGAUACAGGGUGACAGCCCCGUACACAAAAGCGCAUGUGCUGUGAGCUCGAUGAGUAGGGCGGGACACGUGGUAUCCUGUCUGAAUAUGGGGGGACCAUCCUCCAAGGCUAAAUACUCCUGACUGACCGAUAGUGAACCAGUACCGUGAGGGAAAGGCGAAAAGAACCCCGGCGAGGGGAGUGAAAAAGAACCUGAAACCGUGUACGUACAAGCAGUGGGAGCCCCACCAC